AUUCCAGCUCCAAUAGCGUAUACUAAAGUUGUUGCAGUUAAAAAGCUCGUAGUUGGAUUUCUGGUCUCGGACAUCGGUCUGCCUCAAACGAGGUACGCACCUGUUGUUUGAGACCAUCCUCGGGGAAAACGUAUCUGGCAUUAAGUUGUUGGGUUCGGGAUCCUCGUCAUUUACUGUGAGCAAAAUAGAGUGUUCAAAGCAGGCUUAUGCCGUUGAAUACAUUAGCAUGGAAUAAUAAGAUAAGACCUUGGUCUAUUUUGUUGGUUCGUACUCCAAGGUAAUGAUUAAAAGGGAUUGUCGGAGGCAUUUGUAUUUGAAAGUGAGAGGUGAAAUUCUAUGAUCUUUCAAAGACAAACUAGCGCGAAAGCAUUUGCCAAGUAUGUUUUCAUCA
rnacentral:rRNA from 1 species